AAAUUGAAGAGUUUGAUCAUGGCUCAGAUUGAACGCUGGCGGCAGGCCUAACACAUGCAAGUCGAACGGUAACAGGGAUCAGCUUGCUGAUUCGCUGACGAGUGGCGGACGGGUGAGUAAUGUCUGGGAAACUGCCUGAUGGAGGGGGAUAACUACUGGAAACGGUAGCUAAUACCGCAUAACGUCGCAAGACCAAAG
rnacentral:rRNA from 1 species